rnacentral:rRNA from 1 species
CUGACGCUGAGGGAGGGGAAAGCGUGGGGGAGCGAAACAGGAUUAGAUACCCUGGUAGUCUCACGCCGUAAACGAUGAGUGCUAAGUUGUUAGGGGGGUUUCCGCCCCUUAGUGCUGCAGCUAACGCAUUUAAGCACUCCGCCUGGGGAGUACGGUCGCAAGACUGAAACUCAAAGGAAUUUGACGGGGGCCCGCACAAGCGGUGGAGCAUGUGGUUUUAAUUCGAAGCAACGCGAAGAACCUUACCAGGUCUUGACAUCCUCUGACAAUCCUAGAGAUAGGACGUCCCCUUCGGGGGCAGAGUGACAGGUGGUGCAUGGUUGUCGUCAGCUCGUGUCGUGAGAUGUUGGGUUAAGUCCCGCAACGAGCGCAACCCUUGAUCUUAGUUGCCAGCAUUCAGUUGGGCACUCUAAGGUGACUGCCGGUGACAAACCGGAGGAAGGUGGGGAUGACGUCAAAUCAUCAUGCCCCUUAUGACCUGGGCUACACACGUGCUACAAUGGACAGAACAAAGGGCAGCGAAACCGCGAGGUUAAGCCAAUCCCACAAAUCUGUUCUCAGUUCGGAUCGCAGUCUGCAACUCGACUGCGUGAAGCUGGAAUCGCUAGUAAUCGCGGAUCAGCAUGCCGCGGUGAAUACGUUCCCGGGCCUUGUACACACCGCCCGUCACACCACGAGAGUUUGUAACACCCGAAGUCGGUGAGGUAACCUUUUAGGAGCCAGCCGCCGAUAGGUGGGACAGAUGACUGGG